GGUGAGGGAAUGGAUGAGAUGGAAUUCACAGAAGCAGAGAGCAACAUGAAUGACUUGGUGGCAGAGUAUCAGCAGUACCAAGAUGCAACUGUGGAGGAUGAGGGUGAGUACGAGAAGGAGGGUCUUGAGGAGAACUACGAGUCAUAAAAUGUGUGGCCAAUCACGUUUAAACCAAAUGAAAAUUGCAACCUUUACCUGCCUAUAUACCUACUAUUGUGCGGCUACUGCUGUUUGUUCAGUUCUCUGCUCUGCACUUGUAUUUCCCAAGUUAAUAUUGUUUGCUUUUCUUUCACCUUUUUUUUAGACUUCCAAAUAAUG
rnacentral:lncRNA from 1 species